rnacentral:rRNA from 1 species
AUACGGAGGGCGCAAGCGUUGCUCGGAAUUACUGGGCGUAAAGGGGGCGCAGGCGGCCAAACAAGUCAAAGGUGAAAUACCACGGCUCACCCGUGGAAACGCCUUUGAUACUGCUUGGCUCGAGGACAGGAGAGGUGAGUGGAAUUCCUGGUGUAGCGGUGAAAUGCGUAGAUAUCAGGAGGAACACCGAAGGCGAAGGCAGCUCACUGGACUGUUCCUGACGCUCAUGCCCGAAAGUUAGGGUAGCAAACGGGAUUAGAAACCCCAGUAGUCC